UAUUUAUUGUUGUCACGAACACGUUUCUGUGGUGUAUUCUCUGUUUCGACAAAAUUGUGCGGCCAUAAAAUUAAAAUGAUUAAAGACGAUAUAUGCAUACUUCAUAUAAUUGAUUGUGGGAUUCCAAUUUCAAUGUUUCUCGUUCUUCUGUGUAAACAUGGCUCUGAUACCCUCAAUGCCGAUAUUCGCAUUUAUGUUUCGAUUAUCUCGGCGAUACUGAUGUGCAUGGCUUUGAUAAGACUGUUGUUUUCUCCAGAGAGUCGUAUCCAUAUUAAAUAUUUACCAGCCAGAUAUCCCGAACGCAUUUUUCGUACUCUUACAUUCAAUCAACAUAUUUACAUCGGUUUUAUGGUGAUUCGUAUUUUAAAAGGUGUUGCUUCUUUCUUUACGCUCUCCGUUUGGUUCGAUCAACUGGAUAAUUUUGUUAUUGGAACGACAUCAAUUCUAACAGUGCUAUCAUUUUUGUUCGACUGGCGAUGCUUGCCAUUACGCUGAACAUUGAACAAAAUCGAUGAAAACAAAUUAAUAGCUAGGAACUCCUUAAUCGAUAAGAAUAUUUAAACUAAACGUUUUUACACUGAAAAAAUCUAGAAUUUUUAAGUCGACCACAAAAUGAUAUCAAACAUAAUGUGAAAAAUUAUUGUUUCGUAAAAUGUGUGGAAAAAUGAUAUCAAAAUGUCAUUCCUAUUUAAGUGUACUUCAUUAGCAUUAAUUCUUGCAGUGUUAAAAGAAUUGUUUCUAUUCCGAUGAUUCCAUUAAUGUAUUGAAAAAGUACAAAUUAAACGAAGAAAUUUAAUUUAUUGAAAA